UGUGUAUGAAUGCUCGUGCCCCGGUAGGUAUGGCUGAGAAUGAACAUCAGUCUUUGCAUCUCACUCCCCAUACUUGCUCUAGUGGCUCUUGGAAAGUUCAGAUACAUCUUAGAGACUGGGGAGGGAGACUCAGUAGGAGGAAUCAGGGUGUGUGUGUGUGUGUGUGUGUGUGUGUGUGUGUGUUGGGGGGUGGGGGAAGGGAUGGGACAGAGGAAAGAUUUCUCCAAAUCAUCAGUUGCUUUAAAAGAAAGCCUAUAUUUAGCUGGUCUUAGAGGGCCUGUAAAUAUGUAUUUUGCAAGGCAGACAGCCAUAGCUGUGGGAGCGCCAGAGAUAUGCAGGGAGGUCAAAGAAAAAAAAAUAAUCAGAAAGAUUAAGCAAUAUAUUUUGUCAUCAGCAGAUUCAAAGAACUCUUUCUACUGCCUGCUCCCACUGCUAAUAAUACACAUUUCUGUGUUUUGAUGGUUCCUAUGUUUCAUCUGUUCUCUGGAUCUUGUGCAGUGGGUGCCUGAGAAGGCGACUGGCUCUCAGAGACACCUUUUCCUGCCAGCCUUUUCCUCAUCUGCCCUGGGUCAAGGGAAACAGCAUCCUGCCAUCUCCGUCCCCUGUGGCCUGCCAGGCUCUGCUGGCGAAGCACCCUCUCAUUGUGUUGGCUUGCCUCUUAGACGGGCCUCCUCAAGGUCCCGAGAUGGCUGCCUCAGCUCCAAGUGUCUUGUGCAAAUAACGUCCAGAGACAGAAGAAAGUGGAGGCUCGAUCUGUCACCCAGGCUGAA